GAAGUCCAUUUCAAUGAAGGAGUAGCAGUCCACAUUGACGCCGAGCCGUGCACUGGCGAUCGCGAGGUCGUUGGCGAAGCGUCGGCAGGAGAAUGCGCAGGCCAGCCAUUGAGCCGCGAAAGGGACGUGAUCUUGCGGUCACCGCGCU
rfam:Rhizobium sp. CF142 PMI11_contig_95.95, whole genome shotgun sequence.